ACUGAACGCUGGCGGCAGGCCUAACACAUGCAAGUCGAGCGGAUGAAGAGAGCUUGCUCUCUGAUUCAGCGGCGGACGGGUGAGUAAUGCCUAGGAAUCUGCCUGGUAGUGGGGGACAACGUUUCGAAAGGAACGCUAAUACCGCAUACGUCCUACGGGAGAAAGCAGGGGACCUUCGGGCCUUGCGCUAUCAGAUGAGCCUAGGUCGGAUUAGCUAGUAGGUGAGGUAAUGGCUCACCUAGGCGACGAUCCGUAACUGGUCUGAGAGGAUGAUCAGUCACACUGGAACUGAGACACGGUCCAGACUCCUACGGGAGUCAGCAGUGGGGAAUAUUGGACAAUGGGCGAAAGCCUGAUCCAGCCAUGCCGCGUGUGUGAAGAAGGUCUUCGGAUUGUAGAGCACUUUAAGUUGGGAGGAAGGGCAGUAAGUUAAUACCUUGCUGUUUUGACGUUACCAACUGAAUAAGCACCGGCUAACUUCGUGCCAGCAGCCGCCGUAAUAC
rnacentral:rRNA from 1 species